rnacentral:sRNA from 1 species
GUUAAGUUUUUAUAUGUUACAUAUAGUUUUUAUUAUUUGCUUCCGAUUGCAGAAAAGUCAUAUCGUACAUGUCAAAAUAAAAAUUCUAUCGGGAAGAUAAUGUGUUUAGCCGUCAUGUCCCGUCCAAGAUUUGAUAGAGAAGGAAAUAAUUGUUUUGAGAAAAAUAAGAAUGUUUCCAUUUGUUACAAUGCAAAAGUCUUAAAGACAAAGUAGAAAUCGAGAGGAGGGUACUUUGGAGUUAAAGCCGACGACAUCCAUCAAGAGAGAAAAAAUAAAGGAGUUUUUAACUGAAAAAUUUGUACCAAGAAUUCAUUAAAGAUGGCCACAAGAUGAUUUUGGAAAACCUAU